rnacentral:rRNA from 1 species
GCCUAAUACAUGCAAGUCGAACGAUGAAGCUUCUAGCUUGCUAGAAUGCUGAUUAGUGGCGCACGGGUGAGUAACGCAUAGGUUAUGUGCCUCUUAGUUUGGGAUAGCCAUUGGAAACGAUGAUUAAUACCAGAUACUCCCUACGGGGGAAAGAUUUAUCGCUAAGAGAUCAGCCUAUGUCCUAUCAGCUUGUUGGUAAGGUAAUGGCUUACCAAGGCUAUGACGGGUAUCCGGCCUGAGAGGGUGAACGGACACACUGGAACUGAGACACGGUCCAGACUCCUACGGGAGGCAGCAGUAGGGAAUAUUGCUCAAUGGGGGAAACCCUGAAGCAGCAACGCCGCGUGGAGGAUGAAGGUUUUAGGAUUGUAAACUCCUUUUGUUAGAGAAGAUAAUGACGGUAUCUAACGAAUAAGCACCGGCUAACUCCGUGCCAGCAGCCGCGGUAAUACGGAGGGUGCAAGCGUUACUCGGAAUCACUGGGCGUAAAGAGCGCGUAGGCGGGAUAGUCAGUCAGGUGUGAAAUCCUAUGGCUUAACCAUAGAACUGCAUUUGAAACUACUAUUCUAGAGUGUGGGAGAGGUAGGUGGAAUUCUUGGUGUAGGGGUAAAAUCCGUAGAGAUCAAGAGGAAUACUCAUUGCGAAGGCGACCUGCUGGAACAUUACUGACGCUGAUUGCGCGAAAGCGUGGGGAGCAAACAGGAUUAGAUACCCUGGUAGUCCACGCCCUAAACGAUGGAUGCUAGUUGUUGGAGGGCUUAGUCUCUCCAGUAAUGCAGCUAACGCAUUAAGCAUCCCGCCUGGGGAGUACGGUCGCAAGAUUAAAACUCAAAGGAAUAGACGGGGACCCGCACAAGCGGUGGAGCAUGUGGUUUAAUUCGAAGAUACACGAAGAACCUUACCUAGGCUUGACAUUGAGAGAAUCCGCUAGAAAUAGUGGAGUGUCUAGCUUGCUAGACCUUGAAAACAGGUGCUGCACGGCUGUCGUCAGCUCGUGUCGUGAGAUGUUGGGUUAAGUCCCGCAACGAGCGCAACCCCCUUUCUUAGUUGCUAACAGGUCAUGCUGAGAACUCUAAGGAUACUGCCUCCGUAAGGAGGAGGAAGGUGGGGACGACGUCAAGUCAUCAUGGCCCUUACGCCUAGGGCUACACACGUGCUACAAUGGGGUGCACAAAGAGAAGCAAUACUGCGAAGUGGAGCCAAUCUUCAAAACACCUCUCAGUUCGGAUUGUAGGCUGCAACUCGCCUGCAUGAAGCUGGAAUCGCUAGUAAUCGCAAAUCAGCCAUGUUGCGGUGAAUACGUUCCCGGGUCUUGUACUCACCGCCCGUCACACCAUGGGAGUUGUGUUUGCCUUAAGUCAGGAUGCUAAA